rfam:Bipolaris zeicola 26-R-13 unplaced genomic scaffold scaffold_190, whole genome shotgun sequence.
ACAUACGACCAUUGGAAACUGAGAGCUAGCCAUCCCGUCCGAUCUGGCAUAUAUAAGCAGUUUACCGGCGGAUUAGUAGUUAGGUGGGUGACCACUAGCGAAUCCCCGCUGUCGUAUGUU